rnacentral:lncRNA from 1 species
CUCACCGCUAGUGUGCUCCCGGGGCUGCUGCGGCAGGCCGAUCCCCAGCACGUCAUCGAGUACUCGCUGGCCCUGGUCACUGUGCUGAACGAGUACGAGCGGGCCCUGGACGUGGCGGCAGAGCCCAAGCACGAGCGGCAGCGCCGAGCCCAGAUACGCAAGAACAUCACGGAGACUCUGGUGUCCCUGAGGGUCCACACUGUGGAUGACAUCCAGCAGAUCGCUGCUGCGCUGGCCCAGUGCAUGGU